UACGUAGGGUGCAAGCGUUAAUCGGAAUUACUGGGCGUAAAGCGUGCGCAGGCGGUUUUGCAAGACAGAUGUGAAAUCCCCGGGCUCAACCUGGGAACUGCAUUUGUGACUGCAAGGCUAGAAUCUGGCAGAGGGGGGUAGAAUUCCACGUGUAGCAGUGAAAUGCGUAGAUAUGUGGAGGAAUACCGAUGGCGAAGGCAGCCCCCUGGGCUAAGAUUGACGCUCAUGCACGAAAGCGUGGGGGAGCAAACAGG
rnacentral:rRNA from 1 species